ACACACACACAGACUGCUGAGUCCAUACACACACACACAUACAUACACACAGACUGCUGAGUCCAUGCACACACACAUAGACUGCUGAGUCCAUACACACACAUACAUACACACAGACUGCUAUGUCCAUACACACAUAUACACACACACAGAGACUGCUGAGUCCAUGCACACACACACAGACUGCCAAGUCCAUACACACUCACAGACUGCUGAGUAAAUACACACACACACACACACACAGACUCUGCCGAGUCCGUACCCACACAGACUGCUCUGUCCAUACACACACAGACUGCUGAGUCCAUACACACACACACAGACUGCUGAAUCCACACACAGACACACACUGCUGAGUCCAUAAACACACACACACACAGACUGCUGAGUCCACACACACACAUACAUACACUGCUGAGUCCAUACACACACUCACAUACUGCUGAGUCCAUACACACACACACAGACUGCUGAGUCCAUACACACACACACAGACUGCUGAGUCCAUACACACACAUACACACACACAGACUGCUGAGUCCAUGCACACACACAUAGACUGCUGAGUCCAUACACACACAUACAUACACACAGACUGCUAUGUCCAUACACACAUAUACACACACACAGAGACUGCUGAGUCCAUGCACACACACACACAGACUGCCGAGUCCAU